GUAACAACAACUAGAGAUUCAACUUAAUCACUGUCUUACAGGCCACACACAAUUAUAAAAACACUGAACACACAGAACUAAAAACUAACUCCCCAUUCACAGAAAGCCAAACCUACAAAACAUCAGAACAAUAUUAGAAAUGCUAUACAAAGAAAACCAAUUGCAAAGUGUCUAGUCACUGCUCUUUACUUGUAUUGUUUCAUGCUUGUAGUAAUACUGUGACAUUUUAAUUGCAUACCAUUCUAAAGGCAGUUUUCACUCUCAGAUCCCAGUCAUAACAGGAAGUAGAAUAAAAGCAGGAAGCAACAGGAGAACAUCAGAGCUUCACACAAGACACAACUCCUGCUGACUCUCACAUACACCCAGAAAACACUGCAAUAUCAACUGAGUCCUUCUUAUUACUCUUUACAGUGUGAAUAUCAGAGGGCGAUUCAUUCAAAGAUUAAAAAGGUAACGCUACAAUAGCGACUGACAAGAGAACUUGACUUCAUGCUAAAGUAAAAGUUACUUACAGGAUCUGCUCGUGUUGUUGUGAUUGUCAUCAAGUGUCACGUUGUCAAGCAGCAGAAGAGUCAGACUGAAGGAGAACCCGCUUCUGCCGCCUUGAGGAGCGGAGGAAAACUGCACUUUACUCUCGUCAGAUCACAUCUGAGACUUUGGAUUAAAGUUCCUGUAAAA